rnacentral:rRNA from 1 species
UACGUAGGGGGCAAGCGUUGUCCGGAUUUAUUGGGCGUAAAGAGCGUGUAGGCGGCCAGACCGGUCCGUUGUGAAAACUCGAGGCUCAACCUCGAGAUGUCGAUGGAAACCGUCUGGCUAGAGUCCGGAAGAGGAGUGUGGAAUUCCUGGUGUAGCGGUGAAAUGCGCAGAUAUCAGGAGGAACACCGGUGGCGAAGGCGCUGCUCUGGGCCGAAACUGACGCUGAGGAGCGAAAGCGUGGGUAGCAAACAGG